UUGAUAUAUUGUCGUUGCCAACCAUCCCGCGCGAGCCCUGGGAAACUGCAAGAGAGGAUUGGAGCGAGACGAAGGGCGGUUAGUGUCCGUCUGUAUGCGUGGGUUCAGAGAUGCUGCCGAAGGAAGGAAGAGGCGAAAGCAAGAACGGAGAUAAACAGAGGAACAAAGAAGCCGAGACGUAGAGAGGAAGAUAGAGGAAUGGGAUUGGAACAAGAACGAAGAAAGGGGGUGAAGGCUCACACCCUUUGUACCCCACGCUGGCUCCCCGGAUUAAAGCAUUGCCGUUACUGGUUAUUAUAUCACGAGAUACGAACGAGCGGUGCACGUCUGCGGGACAAAGUACACAACAAUAACAUGUGGUUCUAUGCAGAUAAACUGCGCCAGCAGAAACAAUGCCGGUCUGACCCUCGUGGGGCCGACAGUAAAGGUAUACGCCACUGGACCGAACAAGAAUUAUGGUCUCGCCCCGGUAAUUUCAGAACCAGGAUUAAACCGCCUAGAAGUUCACAGAUAUGUGUACAAUAGUACAUGAACUCGUUGAAAAGGAGAAGAUUCUCACUCAUGCUUCAAAAGCGCAAGUUCUUCUCAAGAAUGCUCUUACCUUGCAAGUCACAGUCUCACCCUGCAGCCGACAUUAAUUAAUGUAACUCGACGAGGAAUACGAGCAUAAUUACUUUGCUCGAGUGGCCGGGGCCGAAAGUUUGCUCGUUAUCGGGACUCCACGUAGCUACAUGUAGAUGAUGCAAAGGCACAUUCGAUAAUCUAGUCUUAACACCGGGUGGUAUGACAUUAUCACUUUAUCACCUGUAUCUUAUUGAUAAAUCUGAUCGAAUUAUUAACGUCGCAAAGAGGAAUAUUAAUCUUCGUUUACAUUUGUAAUUUUCUUCUUUUUUUUAGAUUAAUAGAUUUAAUUCUUAGAUUAUUAUACGAUCCAUCAGAUAAAACAG